rnacentral:lncRNA from 1 species
ACUGUGGAUUUUAUUUUUGCGCACGCCAGCGAUCAAAUGAGCAGGGACGUAGCCAGCGUGUUUAAGCUGCGUCCGGUCCUACUGCUCUAAUGCCGGUGACUUCGUAAUUUGUUUUGUACAUACACUCACAUUUUAUUCCUUAUUUACGCGUUUCGGUGUUACAAGAAAAAAAGAAAAAGCCGGUGCAGAGCCGAAGAGAGAGAGAAGGGGAGAAAGAGAGAGAGAGAGCAAUACAUCACCUCGAGUGCGUAGCAAGCUGUUCGACUGAUGUAAAUACAUUGUGCGUUGGCGGCAUUGGAGGACAUGACGGACUCACGGACAAAUAUACACACACACACUCAUGUCAAUAUAACAAAGCACACCACGUAGUCGCCUCAUCGGCCGAAAACAAAGCGAAUCCGAUGACUAAAGCAAUAACUCUAUAGAAAGGGCAAGGUGUAUAGAACGCCUCCCGCGAGGGGGCGCCACUCGUCUCGUUAUUUUUUAUUCUUCGCGACCUCUCUGUGCUCGUGUGUGUGUCAUCGCGACGCGAACGCCACCGCGUGCAAGCGGGAAAGCCAGUCGAACCCGGAUAUAUCGAACCCGCACAAAGCGAAUUAUUGUGUACAUCGAACAGCUGUAAAGUCCCCUUGAACAUUUUUUUAUACAAUUUUUAUUUUGUAUAUCGAAUUAGCUAUAUAUCGAACCCCUUCAGAUUCGAUAUAUCCGAGUUCGACUGUAUAAAGGGGCCCCUGUCGCCAACGGUUGCAGUUUCUAUUGUUCCCUACUAUUUUAGUUUCUUGUCUCUACUGAAGCUACCCGUUCUACGGAUGUUCGUGGUGACGCGUGGGAGGUGAGGCUUUAGUAAUUGAGACACUAAAGAGCGCAACGCUGGAUCAGGCGAGAGUAAAAAAAAGUGCGUAUUCUUUCAAAUCUCUUUUAGUUCAUUCGGUGGAAAAACGCUGAUUACUAGCGGGGUAUACGAAAGCGGAACUCACUCCCCUCUCCCCCUCCUUACUAUUCUGUCAGCACCGCCACGUCAUCGGGACGUCAGCGAUUUCAGCUAAUUAUUAUUCGGCCCGUUUUGACGCAGGAAAAAACUGUCUUAGCUGCAUCUUUGGUUUCUUUAGAUUGCAAUAUAGUCCUCUUUUACCGGUAAGCAAUUUAACUAGACGCGAGUAGCAGCUGUUAAAAUUGAUGACGUCAGGGCUAGUGGUGCAGGAAUUUCACGGUGGCGUCGCCACCCGCGUUUAGCUUUCGCAUCUUUUCUUGCUUACUGUAAACUUGCUCUCGUGGUAAGCGCGGCCACUUUGCUAUUAUAGAAGCGUAUUUUACCAAUACAGCUUAAUAUUAAUGUUCCUUGCGAGGGGCCCCUUUAUUAAGCUUGGCUAGCGCUGCUGCCGUGACCGAUUUCGGGUCGCUUUCCUGUAACGGUUUGCUAGAUUGCUCUAGCGCGAUUGGUGAAGACCUUGAAAUUGGUUCGCUUGGUUGGUUCGUACUUGGUGUGCGAAUCCAGAGCAUGACUCUAACGAAGGCGGAAGAACACAGAGACGUGCGAUUAGCUCUGAGAGUCCGCGUGUGUUUGUCAGCGCUUAUGACUGGCGCAAGACAGGGGUAAUUGGAGAUCGCAGGGAUGAUGGUGCUGACUGGCGCCGAUAGCUGUGCGCCGUAUUCGUGAGCGCUUAUGGCUACCGCUGACAGUCCUGUCUUCGUCAGUUCUAGUUAUGUCUUGGCGUUCUUCCGUCUUGGUCCCAGUCCCAGACGCGAUUGGCUGCACCGUCUUGACACCAGCGAAAUGCACCUGAGUAGACGAACCGUUAACGGAAAGUGGCCUCCUACUAUACAUCCUGCUUUGGGGAGAGAGCGGCUGUCCGGGCGUUUCGGUUAAGUCGAGACUUACGCACGAAGAUGACAGUUGAUGUGCUUCUCGUAUUGCAGUCUUCGGUUACGGCCGCAG